AGUCUCACUAUAUAUCCCUGGCUUUCCUGGAACUCACUAUUUAGACCAGAUUGCUGUCAAAACCACAGACAUCCACCAGUCUAUGUUCCUGUGAGCUGGAAUUCAAGCUGGACCCAGCCCAGAAGCUUCGUGACCCAAGAGGGCUCUAGGAUAAUGCUGCACUGCAGGUCUCCCCACUGCAAUCCAUGGAACUGCUUCGACCCACUUUUCAAGGAAUCCUAUACUCUUGCAUCUUGGAAACAGUGAGUUAAACUUUCCCUGUCUGCUGUCUCCCCUGCCACCCUUUGCACUCAGUCCCUGCCCUCCACCCCACAGCCACUUUCAGCCACAGGCUCUCAUUUAGAUCUAGCUGAGUGUGCACGCCUGCAGCCUGGAGGCAAAAGCUAUGUGGCUGUGCCCAAUUUUGUCGUGCCUCACGAAACCAGGACAGUUUUCUUAUUUUCCCUGGGGCCUCCAAAGCCAAAGGAGCACUAACACCCACCCUCCUGCAGCCUUUCUCGACAGAGAAAGUUCACUGCUCCUCCAAGCCCACAGAGCUCCCAGUCCCGAAGCUGUGCUACAGAUGUGCUGCCCACUGUGCCCACUCAGCAGAGAGCCCAUAUCCAGCUCCAUCUGCCAAGCUUGGUCUCCACCCGGUACUAUUCGAAGGUUUUUUCCCAUACCUAGUAAACACACCCCCAAUCCAUUCUUAACAUGCUCUGUAAGGGUUUUUCAGGAAAUUUCAGGUCCAACUCAAAACAACCACAACUGAACACCUUCGCCACCUGCUGGUCAAAAGAGAUUACUGCAUCUGGAGUGGCAGCAGCCUGAUUCAUCUAGCUGAAAACCUCCUGCUAGAUGAAGUAGAAGCUGACUGGACAAACAGCUCUGGAAAGACACUGAACUACAGAAAUAACUGCUUAACUGAAUCGGCCAGUAUACUUCAAAGAUGCACUAACCUUGGUAUGGAAGCCUGGACAUGUGUCAUGUUGGG
rnacentral:lncRNA from 1 species